rnacentral:rRNA from 1 species
GAGUGAUCGAAAGAUGAAAAGCACCUUGAAAAGAGGGUUAAACAGUACGUGAAAUUGUUGAAAGGGAAGCGCUUGUGACCAGACUUGGGCGCGGCGGAUCAUCCGGGGUUCUCCCCGGUGCACUUCGCCGUGUUCAGGCCAGCAUCAGUUCGGCGCGGGGGAAAAAGGCUUCGGGAACGUGGCUCCUCCGGGAGUGUUAUAGCCCGUUGCAUAAUACCCUGCGCUGGACUGAGGACCGCGCAUCUGCAAGGAUGCUGGCGUAAK